rnacentral:snoRNA from 1 species
GUGGACAUAUUUUAUCUUUUAUUUAUAUAUGUUGAGAGAAAGGAUAUUUCUGAUGUUUCUACACAAACUUUUGGAGGAAAAAUAACAGCAUAGCUAACUUAGCCAAUAGUGUCAAUUUAGACAUAU